CUCUGCCCCCUAGGUAAUGUUACAGUGAAGACUCACCUGCAACAUUUGGGUCGGAACCAAAGUUUAUUGUUAGGGACUCUUUCCCUAACUCUCCAGGAGGGAAGUGCACUUACUCGCCGGAGGGGCUCUCCUUGCCAUGAGGAUCCCGAGCACACGAGAAGGCAGCUGCUCCACAAGCUCAUGACCCAAAAGGAGUAGAGCACAUCUCAAGCAUCCCAGUCUGAGCAAUAAGUAACCCUUUAUCAUAACCCACUGAGACUUACAAGAUGUUUGUUACCACAGCAUAACCUCUCCUCACCUAUAUACCUCCGUGCUUUCCUGCUUGGAACAUGCAUACAAGAAAGGUAAUCAAUGUUCUUUUUCCUAUGGCUAACAGAAACAAAAUCCAAC
rnacentral:lncRNA from 1 species